CCAGAUUGAUGGCAGAAUGGAAUACACCUUCCAGGAGGGAGAUGCCAUUCGACCAGUCAGCUUCCUAAAUGAGCUUCAUUUACAAUUGGUGAUCACUACAACAGUGUCUCCAGAAUCAGCAACUGGGUCCUCUCUGGCUCCUCCAAACCUAAUAUCUGGUUCAGCAGUGGUCACGAGCAAGCUGCUGUUCAACUCCUCAUCUCCAG